UGGGGAAUAUUGCACAAUGGGCGAAAGCCUGAUGCAGCAACGCCGCGUGAGUGAUGAAGGCCUUCGGGUUGUAAAGCUCUGUCUUCUGGGACGAUAAUGACGGUACCAGAGGAGGAAGCCACGGCUAACUACGUGCCAGCAGCCGCGGUAAUACGUCGGUGGCGAGCGUUGUCCGGAAUUACUGGGUGUAAAGGGUGCGUAGGCGGGUUGACAAGUCAGAUGUGAAAUCCCAUGGCUUAACUGUGGGACUGCAUUUGAAACUGUUGGCCGUGAGUGCAGGAGAGGUAAGCGGAAUUCCCAGUGUAGCGGUGAAAUGCGUAGAUAUUGGGAGGAACACCAGUGGCGAAGGCGGCUUACUGGACUGCAACUGACGCUGAUGCACGAAAGCGUGGGGAUCAAACA
rnacentral:rRNA from 1 species